GACGAACGCUGGCGGCGUGCUUAACACAUGCAAGUCGAACGGAAAGGCCCUGCUUGCAGGGUACUCGAGUGGCGAACGGGUGAGUAACACGUGGGUGAUCUGCCCUGCACUUCGGGAUAAGCCUGGGAAACUGGGUCUAAUACCGGAUAGGAGCCAUUUUUAGUGUGGUGGUUGGAAAGUUUUUUCGGUGUAGGAUGAGCUCGCGGCCUAUCAGCUUGUUGGUGGGGUAAUGGCCUACCAAGGCGGCGACGGGUAGCCGGCCUGAGAGGGUGGACGGCCACAUUGGGGCUGGGAUACGGCCCAGACUCCUACGGGAGGCAGCAGUGGGGAAUAUUGCAAAAUGGGGGCAAGCCUGAUGCAGCGACGCCGCGUGGGGGAUGACGGCCUUCGGGUUGGAAACUCCUUUCGCUAGGGACGAAGCUUUUUGUGACGGUACCUAGAGAAGAAGCACCGGCUAACUACGUG
rnacentral:rRNA from 1 species